rnacentral:rRNA from 1 species
AGAGUUUGAUCAUGGCUCAGGAUGAACGCUGGCGGCGUGCCUAAUACAUGCAAGUCGAACGAAGAUGUAGCAAUACGUCUUAGUGGCGAACGGGUGAGUAACGCGUUGGUGACCUGCCCCAAAGUCUGGGAUAACCCCGCGAAAGCGGGGCUAAUACCGGAUGUGGUCAUCGGGAUUAGAAUCCGAUGUCUAAAGGAGUAAUUCGCUUUGGGAGGGGCCUGCGUCCCAUCAGCUAGUUGGUAGGGUAACGGCCUACCAAGGCUACGACGGGUAGGGGACCUCAGAGGGUGGCCCCCCACAAUGGAACUGAAACACGGUCCAUACACCUACGGGUGGCAGCAGUAGGGAAUAUUGCACAAUGGGCGAAAGCCUGAUGCAGCAACGCCGCGUGCGCGAAGAAGGUCUUCGGAUCGUAAAGCGCUUUUCUGGGAGAUGAGAAGGGACAGUAUCCCAGGAAUAAGUCUCGGCUAACUACGUGCCAGCAGCCGCGGUAAAACGUAGGAGGCGAGCGUUAUCCGGAUUCACUGGGCGUAAAGCGCGUGCAGGCGGUUUGGUAAGUUGGGCGUGAAAGCUCCCGGCUCAACUGGGAGAGGUCGUCCAAAACUACCAGACUAGAGAGCGAUAGAGGAAAAUGGAAUUCCCGGUGUAGUGGUGAAAUGCGUAGAUAUCGGGAGGAACACCAGUGGCGAAGGCGAUUUUCUGGAUCGUUUCUGACGCUCAGACGCGAAAGCUAGGGUAGCAAACGGGAUUAGAGACCCCGGUAGUCCUAGCUGUAAACGAUGUGAACUUGGCGUUGGUGGCUUAAACACCAUCAGUGCCGCAGCUAACGCGAUAAGUUCACCGCCUGGGGACUACGGCCGCAAGAUUAAAACUCAAAUGAAUUGACGG